rnacentral:misc_RNA from 1 species
AGGGAUCAUUAACGAAUGGUUCCCGUAACCUUUCAACCUUCAAAACCUGUGGACGUUACGAAACGUGCUUCGGCGCCCCCUGUUCGUGGGGUGCCGCCUUUAUGCUGUACAUCAGUCUCUUUCCGUCUGAACGUAACAUGAAGAAUCAAAACUUUCAACAAAGGAUCUCUUGGCUCUCGCAUCGAUGAAGAACGCAGCGUAGCCACAUCGAUGUGGGAAGUAAAAGUCGUAACAAG